rnacentral:tRNA from 1 species
GGCCCCCUCUAGGGACGGUGGACUGUCCCCGUGGGCUUCAAACCCAUGAGUUCGAUAUGAACUAAGAGUUCGAUUCUCUGGGGGGGCCGCCA